UACGUAGGGUGCGAGCGUUGUCCGGAAUUAUUGGGCGUAAAGGGCUCGUAGGCGGUUUGUCGCGUCGGGAGUGAAAUCCACUGGCUUAACUGGUGGCUUGCUUUCGAUACGGGCAGACUGGAGGUAUGCAGGGGAGAACGGAAUUCCUGGUGUAGCGGUGAAAUGCGCAGAUAUCAGGAGGAACACCCGUGGCGAAGGCGGUCUUCUGGGCG
rnacentral:rRNA from 1 species